GAACCCGUGGCGCAGUGGUAGCGCGUAUGAUUCCAGCUGAACAUCGAGUCGCGGUAUCCAUAAGGUCAUCCGUUCAAUCCGGGUCGGGUUCA